rnacentral:rRNA from 1 species
UGGGGAAUUUUCCGCAAUGGGGGCAACCCUGACGGAGCAACGCCGCGUGCGGGAGGAAGGCCUUUGGGUUGUAAACCGCUUUUCUCAGGGAAGAAGCUCUGACGGUACCUGAGGAAUCAGCCUCGGCUAACUCCGUGCCAGCAGCCGCGGUAAUACGGAGGAGGCAAGCGUUAUCCGGAAUCAUUGGGCGUAAAGCGUUCGCAGGCGGCGAUUCAAGUCUGCUGUCAAAGCCCGCAGCUCAACUGCGGACAGGCAGUGGAAACUGAAUGGCUAGAGUGCGGCAGGGGUAGAGGGAAUUCCCGGUGUAGCGGUGAAAUGCGUUGAUAUCGUGAGGAACACCGGUGGCGAAAGCGGCUCACUGGGGCUCUUCUGACGCUGAGGGACGAAAGCUAGGGGAGCGAACGGGAUUAGAUACCCCGGUAGUCC